rnacentral:rRNA from 1 species
UGGGGAAUCUUGGACAAUGGGCGCAAGCCUGAUCCAGCCAUGCCGCGUGAGUGAAGAAGGCCUUCGGGUUGUAAAGCUCUUUUACCAGGGACGAUAAUGACGGUACCUGGAGAAUAAGCUCCGGCUAACUCCGUGCCAGCAGCCGCGGUAAUACGGAGGGAGCUAGCGUUGUUCGGAAUUACUGGGCGUAAAGCGCACGUAGGCGGAUUGUUAAGUCAGAGGUGAAAUCCCGGAGCUCAACUUCGGAACUGCCUUUGAUACUGGCAAUCUAGAGUCCGGAAGAGGUUAGUGGAAUUCCCAGUGUAGAGGUGAAAUUCGUAGAUAUUGGGAAGAACACCAGUGGCGAAGGCGGCUAACUGGUCCGGUACUGACGCUGAGGUGCGAAAGCGUGGGGAGCAAACAGGAUUAGAUACCCGAGUAGUCCCUGAGCGGGCUGGCAAGGCGCAU